rnacentral:lncRNA from 1 species
AUGACUAACACAAAGGGAAAGAGGAGAGGUAUCCAAUAUAUGUUCUCUAGGCCUUGGAAAAAACAUGGAGUUGUUCCUUUGGCCAUGUAUAUGCGAAUCUAUAAGAAAUAUGAUAUCGUAGACAUCAAGGAAAUGGAUACUGUUCAAAAAGGAAUGUCCCAGAAGUGUUACCAUGGCAAAACUGGAAGAGUUUACAGUGAUACCCAGCAUGAUGUUGGCAUUGUUGUAAGCAAACAAGGGCCAGAUUCUUGCCAAGAGAAUUAACGUGCAUAUUGAGUGCAUUAAGCACUCUGAGAACAGAGAUAGCUUCCUGAAAUCGUGAAGGAAAAUGAUCAGAAAAAGAAGGAAGCCAAAGAGAAAAGAGCCUGGGUUCACCCUGAAGCACCAGCCUGCUCCACCCAGAGAAGCACACUUUUUUGUUUGUUUUUUGUUUGUUUUUGAGACAGAGUCUGGCUCUGUCACCCAGGCUGGAAUGCAAUGGCGCAAUCUCAGCUCACUGCAACCUCUGCCUCCCGUGUUCAAGCGAUUCUCCUGCCUCAGCCUCCCGAGUAGUUGGGAUUACAGGCACCCACCACCACGCCCGGCUAAUUUUUGUAUUUUUAGUAGAGACGAGGUUUCACCAUGUUGGUCAGGCUGGUCUCGAACUCCUGGCCUCAAGUGAUCCGCCCACCUCAUCCUCCCAAAGUACUGGGAUUACAGGUGUGAGCCACCAUGCCCAGCCUCAGAGAAGCACACUUUGUGAGAAAUAAUAGAAAGAAGCCUGGGCUGCUGGUAGGUGUUAAAAAAAAAAAAACUC